rnacentral:rRNA from 1 species
UACGAAGGGGGCUAGCGUUGUUCGGAUUUACUGGGCGUAAAGCGCACGUAGGCGGAUCUUUAAGUCAGAGGGGAAAUCCCAAGGCUCAACCUUGGAACUGCCUUUGAUACUGGGGAUCUUGAGUCCGGGAGAGGUGAGUGGAACUGCGAGUGUAGAGGUGAAAUGCGUAGAGAUCCGGAGGAACACCGGUGGCAAAGGCGGCGACCUGGUCCUUGACUGACGCUGAGGCGCGAAAGCGUGGGGAGCAAACAGG